GACGAACGCUGGCGGCGUGCUUAACACAUGCAAGUCGAACGGAAAGGCCCUGCUUUUGUGGGGUGCUCGAGUGGCGAACGGGUGAGUAACACGUGAGUAACCUGCCCUUUACUUUGGGAUAACUUCAGGAAACUGGGGCUAAUACCGGAUAGGAGCUCCUGCUGCAUGGUGGGGGUUGGAAAGUUUCGGCGGUUGGGGAUGGACUCGCGGCUUAUCAGCUUGUUGGUGGGGUAGUGGCUUACCAAGGCUUUGACGGGUAGCCGGCCUGCGAGGGUGACCGGCCACAUUGGGACUGGGAUACGGCCCAGACGCCUACGGGAGGCAGCAGUGGGGAAUAUUGCACAAUGGGCGGAAGCCGGAUGAAGCAACGCCGCGGGCGGGAUGACGGCCUUCGGGUUGGAAACCGCUUUCGCCUGUGACGAAGCGGGAGUGACGGUAAUGGGUAAAGAAGCACCGGCUAACUACGUG
rnacentral:rRNA from 1 species